AUCUGAUGAUGGGGGAACUUGAAACAGGUAUUUUUGAAUCGUUCCCAAUACUCAUGAAGGGUCUCUCCAUCGAACUGCAUGAUGCUAUAAAUUUCCUUUCUGAUGCU